GGUUAAGCGACUAAGCGUACACGGUGGAUGCCCUGGCAGUCAGAGGCGAUGAAGGACGUGCUAAUCUGCGAUAAGCGUCGGUAAGGUGAUAUGAACCGUUAUAACCGGCGAUUUCCGAAUGGGGAAACCCAGUGUGAUUCGUCACACUAUCAUUAACUGAAUCCAUAGGUUAAUGAGGCGAACCGGGGGAACUGAAACAUCUAAGUACCCCGAGGAAAAGAAAUCAACCGAGAUUCCCCCAGUAGCGGCGAGCGAACGGGGAGCAGCCCAGAGCCUGAAUCAGUGUGUGUGUUAGUGGAAGCGUCUGGAAAGGCGCGCGAUACAGGGUGACAGCCCCGUACACAAAAAUGCACAUGCUGUGAGCUCGAUGAGUAGGGCGGGACACGUGGUAUCCUGUCUGAAUAUGGGGGGACCAUCCUCCAAGGCUAAAUACUCCUGACUGACCGAUAGUGAACCAGUACCGUGAGGGAAAGGCGAAAAGAACCCCGGCGAGGGGAGUGAAAAAGAACCUGAAACCGUGUACGUACAAGCAGUGGGAGCACGCUUAGGCGUGUGACUGCGUACCUUUUGUAUAAUGGGUCAGCGACUUAUAUUCUGUAGCAAGGUUAACCGAAUAGGGGAGCCGAAGGGAAACCGAGUCUUAACUGGGCGUUAAGUUGCAGGGUAUAGACCCGAAACCCGGUGAUCUAGCCAUGGGCAGGUUGAAGGUUGGGUAACACUAACUGGAGGACCGAACCGACUAAUGUUGAAAAAUUAGCGGAUGACUUGUGGCUGGGGGUGAAAGGCCAAUCAAACCGGGAGAUAGCUGGUUCUCCCCGAAAGCUAUUUAGGUAGCGCCUCGUGAAUUCAUCUCCGGGGGUAGAGCACUGUUUCGGCAAGGGGGUCAUCCCGACUUACCAACCCGAUGCAAACUGCGAAUACCGGAGAAUGUUAUCACGGGAGACACACGGCGGGUGCUAACGUCCGUCGUGAAGAGGGAAACAACCCAGACCGCCAGCUAAGGUCCCAAAGUCAUGGUUAAGUGGGAAACGAUGUGGGAAGGCCCAGACAGCCAGGAUGUUGGCUUAGAAGCAGCCAUCAUUUAAAGAAAGCGUAAUAGCUCACUGGUCGAGUCGGCCUGCGCGGAAGAUGUAACGGGGCUAAACCAUGCACCGAAGCUGCGGCAGCGACGCUUAUGCGUUGUUGGGUAGGGGAGCGUUCUGUAAGCCUGUGAAGGUGUACUGUGAGGUAUGCUGGAGGUAUCAGAAGUGCGAAUGCUGACAUAAGUAACGAUAAAGCGGGUGAAAAGCCCGCUCGCCGGAAGACCAAGGGUUCCUGUCCAACGUUAAUCGGGGCAGGGUGAGUCGACCCCUAAGGCGAGGCCGAAAGGCGUAGUCGAUGGGAAACAGGUUAAUAUUCCUGUACUUGGUGUUACUGCGAAGGGGGGACGGAGAAGGCUAUGUUGGCCGGGCGACGGUUGUCCCGGUUUAAGCGUGUAGGCUGGUUUUCCAGGCAAAUCCGGAAAAUCAAGGCUGAGGCGUGAUGACGAGGCACUACGGUGCUGAAGCAACAAAUGCCCUGCUUCCAGGAAAAGCCUCUAAGCAUCAGGUAACAUCAAAUCGUACCCCAAACCGACACAGGUGGUCAGGUAGAGAAUACCAAGGCGCUUGAGAGAACUCGGGUGAAGGAACUAGGCAAAAUGGUGCCGUAACUUCGGGAGAAGGCACGCUGAUAUGUAGGUGAAGCGACUUGCUCGUGGAGCUGAAAUCAGUCGAAGAUACCAGCUGGCUGCAACUGUUUAUUAAAAACACAGCACUGUGCAAACACGAAAGUGGACGUAUACGGUGUGACGCCUGCCCGGUGCCGGAAGGUUAAUUGAUGGGGUUAGCGCAAGCGAAGCUCUUGAUCGAAGCCCCGGUAAACGGCGGCCGUAACUAUAACGGUCCUAAGGUAGCGAAAUUCCUUGUCGGGUAAGUUCCGACCUGCACGAAUGGCGUAAUGAUGGCCAGGCUGUCUCCACCCGAGACUCAGUGAAAUUGAACUCGCUGUGAAGAUGCAGUGUACCCGCGGCAAGACGGAAAGACCCCGUGAACCUUUACUAUAGCUUGACACUGAACAUUGAGCCUUGAUGUGUAGGAUAGGUGGGAGGCUUUGAAGUGUGGACGCCAGUCUGCAUGGAGCCGACCUUGAAAUACCACCCUUUAAUGUUUGAUGUUCUAACGUUGACCCGUAAUCCGGGUUGCGGACAGUGUCUGGUGGGUAGUUUGACUGGGGCGGUCUCCUCCUAAAGAGUAACGGAGGAGCACGAAGGUUGGCUAAUCCUGGUCGGACAUCAGGAGGUUAGUGCAAUGGCAUAAGCCAGCUUGACUGCGAGCGUGACGGCGCGAGCAGGUGCGAAAGCAGGUCAUAGUGAUCCGGUGGUUCUGAAUGGAAGGGCCAUCGCUCAACGGAUAAAAGGUACUCCGGGGAUAACAGGCUGAUACCGCCCAAGAGUUCAUAUCGACGGCGGUGUUUGGCACCUCGAUGUCGGCUCAUCACAUCCUGGGGCUGAAGUAGGUCCCAAGGGUAUGGCUGUUCGCCAUUUAAAGUGGUACGCGAGCUGGGUUUAGAACGUCGUGAGACAGUUCGGUCCCUAUCUGCCGUGGGCGCUGGAGAACUGAGGGGGGCUGCUCCUAGUACGAGAGGACCGGAGUGGACGCAUCACUGGUGUUCGGGUUGUCAUGCCAAUGGCACUGCCCGGUAGCUAAAUGCGGAAGAGAUAAGUGCUGAAAGCAUCUAAGCACGAAACUUGCCCCGAGAUGAGUUCUCCCUGACUCCUUGAGAGUCCUGAAGGAACGUUGAAGACGACGACGUUGAUAGGCCGGGUGUGUAAGCGCAGCGAUGCGUUGAGCUAACCGGUACUAAUGAACCGUGAGGCUUAACCUUAC
rnacentral:rRNA from 1 species